UUCAGCCUCCCCCAAUCGCCUCAUCUCUAUUCUCGUUCUCAACUCUGAACUUGCCCUCUCUCUCUCUCUCUCUCUCUCUCUCUCUCUCUGCAACUGCAAACUACAAAAUCUACAAGAAACAGAAGUUCAAAACCCAUAUAUUUCAGUUUAUCUAUCUGUCUGCAAGAAUCAAAAGUUCAAAACCUAUUACCUAUAUCAAAACCCUUAUCGGCAUAUCAUUUCAGAUUGUUCAAAAAAUCGAAACCCAUAUCUUUCAGUUUCCAUCGCCCGCUGUUCGAGUCCGGGUUCGCCGUUCGCAAGCUUCAGCCGCUGUCUCUCAACUCUCAAGCUUGCCCCCCUCGGCCCUCUCUCUCUGCAACUGCUAACUUGGUUAGCAUCGGGCCUUAACAUUUAGCAAGAAUAAGGUUCAAGAAACAUGCCUCUUCAGUCAUCAGGUCUCUUUUCUGAAAGAAGAGAGUUGAUGGGAAUGGGUGGAGUUGGCAAAAAAAGGAUUUAGUCAGGCAAAAGCAUCUUUGAACAAAACUGUCUCAAUUUUUAGAGGCUUCUGGACAGAAUUUCGGCUCUUUUUGGAUGCUUGGAGGCUAUUGCCCACGCACUAAGGUUGCUGAUUGGUGCCUCUUGUCUGUAGUAUAUAUUUCCGUUGGUAAUUUGAUAAAGAUCAAUGGAAAACAUCUUUAAGGAUAUACAAAAGGCACAAAAAGGAAUGUUCCAAGGCUCAAACCUUAAUUUGGCACAUGCUAGACGAUGGGGGGUUCUACUUGGAGUCUUGCAUAAUUAGGGAGGUUUGGUCAAAUUGCAUUAUUUUGGUAAUUGCAUCAAUUAUGGUGAAGUUGCAUUGUUUUGGUAAAUUGUAUCAAUUAGAUUAAAUUGCAUAAAUUAAGUUAUUUGUUACUUUAUUAAGCUAGAGUUAACUUUUGAUUACCUCCAUUGUAGGGUAAUCCAAUGGUCAUUAGUUUUUUUAUUUUAUUUAUUUAUUUUUAUAUAAAGAAUACUAUGUAAUUCUUAUUACUCAGUCAAUGAAUGAAUAAAAAUAUCUUUGAGAUUUUGUGAGUGAUUCACAAAUUAUGAGGGUGUGAGGCCUUCUCUAGGUGUGAUGCCUAGGCCCUAUUGGUGUGAUUCCAUAGGUUUUUGUUGUUUUCAAUCCUUUUUCUCUAGCAAUCUGUUUAUUUGAAUUUGCAGCCACUCCUCUUUUGUUUUUCUACAUUUCUACUACCAAAGCUCCAAAUUUCAGCCCUAGUUCUUUGGACUUUCAGCCUCUGAAUUCUUUGAGUUCUUAGCUAUUUAAGGCUGCUCUCUUGUCCUACAUCAUAAUUGGUGUGUAGUGGAUCAUUGGUCUGUUCGUGGCUUUGGAUCUAGAAAAUUGGUGUCUCUGUGUAGGGUUGGUAUUUGGUGUGUAUCCGUCUCUGUAUAUAAUGGAUGGUAAUUGGACCUGUGUAUCAAGUGGUGUCUGUGUAUCAGUGUAUGUUUGUGUCUCCCUCUAUUGGUAAUGUUGAAUAUGAUCAUGUAUCCCAGAUACAACUUGGCCAGCAUGCAAUUAUUUUAGUAAUGUUGAAUAUGAUCGCGUAUCCUGGACAUGACCAAGAAAGAAAGAAUGGGGCGUCCAAGCCAUGGGGUCAUGGCUUAAGACCACAACCUAAUCACUAGGUCAUAUUACGAACUUGACCUAAUCAACAGGUUCAUAUUUUAUUUUCCUUUCUUAUUUUAUUUUAUUGUUUAUUAUUAUUAUUGUGAUAUUAUGGCCCGAAUUUGGUACUGGGUCGCGUUGUGACCCUACGACCCGUUCGAUUUGACCCGUUGGAUUUUUUUUUCAACCGUCCUUGCUUGAACGGAUAAGAACCCAUCUGAGCAGUCGCGAUAGGCCUGUAAUCUGUAUAGAAAGAUUUGUUGAUAGAUUACCAGUAUAGUAGGCUGUAGGCCUUUUGUUUAGUUGCUCUUUGGGCCUGCUUCCCUUUUGAGUGCUUCUUAAUUGAGACAUUACUUAUUAAAAAAACUGAGAGAGAAGACACAAUUUAAUACUUCGAGUUAAGAAAGUGUAUUGGAAUCUGUCUAGUUUGGAAAAUCUUCUAAACUAGGUUUGUCUGACCCUGUCUCAAUUGUGACUCAGUAAGAUUGUUGAAGCUAAAUGUACAGUAAUGUUGGGAAGAAUAAAAAAAAUCAUAGAAAUUAUGUAAAAUUCGCGAGGAUAAUUAAUAUCAUUAGACCGCUCAAAGCCACAAGCUUUGAAAUAAAAAUGUAUGUAAAAGUCACUAGGUUAAUUGGUAAUUAUUAAACUGGACAAAUUUACAAGCAAUGAAAGUAAAAAAAAAAACAAAUAUAAGGCCCUAAACUGUAAGUUGUUUAAGCCUCUCUAGACUAGACAAUUGGGCAGUGCAUUGGUGUCUUCAAGGAGUUUGUUUAACUAUGUUAAUAUUAAUGUUUGUCCGGGCUUGGUGAUUCUGCUACGAAGUUCCUCGAACCUUAGGGUUAUAACAAAGCCACUGGAUUGUGUAGGAGUUUCUUCUUGUCCAUCUUGAGUUCUUGAUGGCAAUUACUAACAUAGGUUUAAUAAAUCAAGGAGGAGCAUAAUUUUGUAGUUGUACGAGUAUAUGUGAGUCAAGAAUAUUAGAUGGAAAUAAUUAGAUUGGAUAAUAUUUUAGUUGACUGAACAUUCCAAUUCCUUUCUAAGAGUAAUAUUGAAAAUUUUAACAUAGUACGCAAGGAAACAAUUCAUGAUGCUACAAUGUAAAAAAGGGCUGAUAUUUUCUAUUCUUGAAUAUUUACUUUGCUCUGGAUUACCAUAUGUGUGAAAUAGGAAUUCAGGUCAUGAGAACCUUGUGAAUUGAUAUAAAUUAUGGUGCCGGGUCGCGGUGUGACCCGCUUAUGACCCGACGACCCGUUAUUAACCUCUUCGCUACCUUCCAUGUCCACCUGCAAAAUCAAAGCUAACAUAAGAUCUAAAUACAUCAUCUAUAGUUGUAUAUAUCUAAUGCAAUCCUUGUGGGUGCAGAUUUAGCAUGGGGAAUUAGUUACAUAUAUAAGGCCUGUUUGGGUAACAUUGAAAUAUUGUUGUGCACUUGACACACACAAGCUAGCAAAAGAAUAAUACAUGGUACUUUCACCAACCAAACCAAACCAAAUGAAACGCACCUGUUGCUUCACCUCCUGAUAGGAGGGCCAUCUGGACCAUCCACUUCCGAUCAUCAGCCGUGACGGUGGGAGAGGCUGAUCGGACGGCUGAGAAUUAAUGUUACCUUGUUGUACACAAAUAUUUCCAUCUGGGUAUGCAGUUUGUACGCUACCUUGUGUGUGUUGUUGCACCACCGGUGACGGCCGGUUGAGUUGGGGAUCUGUGAGAGACAAUGAACAGAAAGAAGAGGAUGGAAAACGUUUCAUGAUCCUCAUCACCGAAAGAUAAAAAGAGAUUGAUAGAUGCAAAGAACGAGAGAGAGAGAAGUCUGAUGGGAAGGGCUUAGACCCAGUGCACCCGCAAACCCUAAUUCAAAGAUGGCUUUCAUAGGCUAGGAUAAAUACCCACGAUAGCAACCUAAGCUGUGUGGUAGUCAGAUGGAGCUAACCAGGCUGCAUACGAUAGCAUGCUACUUAUAUAUAUAUAUAUAUACUGUAUAGGGGUGGUUUAUUUCUAUAUUUUAAUAGAAUCUCGUAUUCUGUUGGGUUCUUGUAGUGAAAAUUCAUGAUUUUAUUGUUAAUUUCAUGAUUGAUUUUGAAAUUCUUUUGUGCUCUUCUAGCUCAUGUUGUUAUUCUACUAUACAUGAUUGCUUCCAUACCUUCCUUGGAUUAUCAAAUCAUUUCUGGUUCAGCAACCAGAAACUCCGGAGCUCUUCAGAUGGGCAGCAGCAUGAACGAUUCGCUCAUGCUAGCUGCUAGUGCAUUUGACAUGCGCCAGGAGGACGUAGUCGUAGUGGCAGACCAUCAAGGUUGGGCCAACGAACCCGCUUGGGUUCUCAUGCUGGUUUAUAUAGUCAGGGUGCUAUACCCUCCUCCCCCUGGCCUCUGAUAUAUACAUUACUAUACGGUCUGUACCACAUAUAUACAGAGAUGUGAUAUAUACAUCACCAUACGGUCUCUAUCACAUAUAUAUAGGGUGUGAUUGAGAUGUGAUAUAUACAUUACUAUACGGUCUGUACCACAUAUAUACAGGGUGUGAUUGAGAUUUGAUAUAUACAUUGUUAUGGGUUGUUUUUUCUUUACUAAAAUUUGAAAAUUUUAGCAAUUUUGAUUGAUGUGAGAUAGAGAUUUGAUAUAUAGAUUGUUAUGGGUUUUUAUUUA